rnacentral:rRNA from 1 species
GUCCACUGAACCUUAUCAUUUAGAGGAAGGAGAAGUCGUAACAAGGUUUCCGUAGGUGAACCUGCGGAAGGAUCAUUGUCGAACCCUCGCGGUAGAAUGACUUGCUAACCUGUACCAAUUAUUG